rnacentral:lncRNA from 1 species
CACCUCAAGAAGGCUACAUCUCACGAAUGGCACUCUCAGUGCUUUUAAAGAGGUCCCAAGAUGUACUACAUCGCUAUAUAGAGGAUGAAAGAUUAAGUGGUAAAUGCCCUCUUCCAAGGCAACAAGUAACAGAAAUUAUAUUUGUUUUAAAAGCAGUCAGUACUCUUAUUGAUUCACUUAAGAAAACUCAGCCUGAGAAUGUUGAUGGAAAUACCUGGGCACAAGUAAUUGCCUUAUACCCAACUUUAGUAGAAUGCAUCACCUGUUCUUCUUCAGAAGUCUGUUCUGCACUUAAAGAGGCACUAGUUCCUUUUAAGGAUUUCAUGCAGCCACCAGCAUCCAGAGUUCAAAAUGGAGAAUCUUGACCGGCUACAAUAUAUUUGAAAGCAGGAAGAUAGUCUAAAAAAUGUUUGCUCCUAAUUGAGUCUUCUGUGAGAAGGACAUUUCUUACUGCAGAUAAUUCUUGGCAGCUGUUGUUGGCCUCCUUUAAAUUCUACUUACCUGAGUUCAGUAAUUCAUAUUACAGGCUUGCACAUCAACAAAGGCUCCUGAAUGAACAGCAGUGUAAGGCUUUAAUAAAUUAAACUGAUGGGAGGGAUAAUUAACACUACAGUAUACAUGCUACCAUAUCUCCAGUUGGUGAUUUAAAGUGAGCUUAUGUACAGUUUGUGGUGUAUGUGUUAAUGAUGUACUUUUUAAAAAGAAAGAAGAGAUAUUUCAAUUCAGUCAGAUUUAUUAGUCUGGUGUUUUUGCACCCUUUUUCAAGUACAAAAUCGUACUAGAAUUUUAUGCAAGAUGGUACUGUAACAUUCCAUAUUAUCUAUAACCAGCCUUUGUUAACAAAGGGAACUGAUAUACUUGUGUGUAUAAUAAAUGGUACAGUUCUGUAUAAAAUAGUGCAUUUAUUUAAAUUUUAAAAGUAUUGAUAAUG